rnacentral:tRNA from 1 species
AGGGCUAUAGCUCAGUUAGGUAGAGCACCUCGUUUACACAAUUAGUUUGAUCUGUUUUACCGAGAA